rnacentral:rRNA from 1 species
GACGGAUAGGGCCAGCGUUAUUGGGCAUUACUGGGUGUAAAGGGUAUGUAGACAGCUCUAUUUUAUCUUUGCGAAAUGUCUGGGUAAAACUUUUUCAUAACGCAUUAUACUAAUAUCGAGCUAGAGUUUAAAAGGGGUAGCUAGAAUUUUUAAUGAAGGGGCAAAAUCCGCCGAGAUUAAAAAGGAAUGCCAAAGGUGAAAGCAUGUUGCUAUUUUAAACUGACGUUAACGUACGAAAGCGUAGGGAGCAAACAGG